GCUGGAGACCGGAACGCCAGCUUCAAUGAAGAGCCGUUACUGAGAACGAGACCGAAGAGAGUGCUCGUCGUUUUAGGGAGGGUAUACAGCCAUACACUCGCACAUCUUCGCUCAACACGCACACCCUUUUGAACACUUACUGCGGGACACAGGAAAGUCUGGCAUACAAACACUGUGCUAAGAGGGAGAGGAUAAGAGUGCUGGGAGUAAAUCAUUUCGCGAACGUUUGCUGUUAUGCGGGAGUUUAGGCUACUCUUCAUUUUUGAGUAGCCUGACAGCGUUGGAUAACUUAUGGAAUGUAAAAGGCAAAUAUAGCAAAAAGGGAACUUUUACCCUCCUCGCUUUUACUUGGUUUUGCGUUCGUCGUGAAAUAUUGUAUCUGUGGAAAUAUUCACAGAAGAAGCGGGAUUGCGUUGUGGUAAACGCACUGGUCGGAACAGCAGUGGCGAGAAACAACUCACUGUCUCGGCGUGGAUGAGACGGGACGGGUAGGGACGGCAUUAAAUAACUAUUCGCGUGAACUUUUAAACUUUCAGAAAUAAUCUCUAGGUUUUUAUGCGUUUUAGAUUUUUGGUUUAAUUUUCAUUCGUCGAUUUUCACUUCGGGUUGUUGAACUUAUUUUGGAAUAUGGUUGGGGAAAUGGAACCGAAAGAGAAGCCGAAGCCGACGCCAGAAUAUCUCAUGCAGUUGAUGAACGACAAAAAACUGAUGAGCAGUCUACCCAACUUUUGCGGCAUUUUCAACCACCUAGAGCGGCUGCUGGACGAAGAAAUCGGGCGGGUACGGAAGGACAUGUACAACGACACGCUAAAUGGCAGCACGGAGAAGAGGAGCUCGGAGCUGCCGGACGCCGUGGGGCCAGUGGCCCAGCUGCAGGAGAAGCUCUACGUGCCCGUAAAAGAAUUUCCCGACUUUAAUUUCGUGGGGAGGAUCCUCGGGCCUCGGGGACUGACGGCUAAGCAGCUGGAAGCGGAGACCGGGUGCAAAAUCAUGGUGCGAGGGAAGGGCUCCAUGAGGGACAAGAAAAAGGAGGAGCAAAAUCGAGGGAAGCCCAACUGGGAGCAUCUGAACGAAGACCUGCACGUCCUGAUCACGGUGGAGGACUCCCAGAACCGGGCCGAGAUCAAGCUGAAACGGGCCGUGGAGGAGGUCCGGAAGCUUCUGGUGCCGGCGGCCGAGGGUGAGGACAGCCUGAAGAAGAUGCAGCUGAUGGAGCUGGCCAUCCUCAACGGCACGUACAGAGACGCCAACAUCAAGUCGCCCGCCCUCACCUUCUCUCUAACCGCCCAGGCUCCCCGCAUCAUUACGGGCCCCGCUCCUGUGAUGCCCGCCUCCCUGCGCACCCCGACCUCGGCCGGUCCCACCCUGAUGCCCCUGAUCCGACAGAUCCAGACCUCGGCCCUCAUGCCCAGCGGGGCCCCCCACCCGGCGGCCACCCUCGUCCCCCAGGGGCCCGAAUCCGGGCUCAUCUACGCGCCCUACGACUACCCCUACACACUGGCUCCCGCCACCUCCAUUCUGGAAUACCCCAUCGACUCCACCGGGGUGUUAGGUAUGGCUUUCCCCACCAAAGGCUAAGCACUCUCAAGACCGGCGUCCCCCCUGCGCGCUUAUCUGUGUGCUAACCCUCGCUUUGUUUCACAGAGUCGCUUCUCAGUCAGAUACUGUGUGUGUGUGCGUGUGUGUGUGUGUGUGUGUGUGUGUGUGUGUGUGUGUGUGUGUGCGUGCGUGUGUUUGUGUUCAUCAUGAUCAGCGUGUGUUCAGCCCGGUCAGACAGAUGAUUCAUUACUACUGAUGUCCACCCUGGAAGUGUAUCACAGAGAUAGUGUUUCAUGUUUCUGUGUGUAUUUGCGUGUGCGUGUGCGUGUGUGUGUUUGUGUGUGUACAAGUCACUGCACUGUACACGUAUCAGUGUAUUUUGUGUGUAGGUAAUUAUGUGUUAAAAUAUGAAAUCCAGAAAGAAAGUAAUGACUGCACAUAUAGUAGAUUAUUCUAUUACAUGUAUUCUGUGAGGUGUGUCACGUAUGUAGAACUGCUCUACAGCAUAUGCAUGAAAUUGCAUUACAUUUCCAAAAGUGAUUAAAAUUUGUAUGCAGUAUUAUAGAGUAUAUCGUACAGUAUAUAUGUCAUUUAUUUCGGAUUUCAUAUUUAAACAUAUAUUUACAUAUAUCUUAAUGCCUUUUUGAUUUGGUGUAAAACAACAAUACUGUCUUUAUUUACUAAUCACUUAAUUUAUUGCAAUUAAAAUUACGGUUGUUUGCGUGGCUUAAGUUUUAAACUUUGAGCUUGGUUUGAGUAUGUUCAGUAUUAUAUUUCCAUAUUUGAAGGUUUAUCUGGGGGAAACCAUAUAAACCUGCCGCAGGGGGAAAAGGUUAAACCAUUCCUGUGUGUGCUUUGAUUACGUGAUUAGUAAAGACUGCUUGCUGCCAGCAAACCCAUUUAGGGGAGUUACAUGGACCCCGUCUGGUUUACUGACAGCUCAGUGGCAACAGACUGCCGCAGCGUUUCGAAAUUCUGUACAUAUUCUCCAUAAAAAAUACAUUGUGCCUUAUUUUGACGUUUUUUUUGUAAUUUAAAUGAUGUGUAGAUGCCUUAUGUCAUUUCUUUUGUAUUAUCGCGACAAAAAAAAAGAGGAAACUACUGUUUUUCUUACACUGCCUGUAAAAGGAUAAAUCUUCUAACUGUGCUCUGGUGUCGUUGCAAUUCAAGCAGGUGCAGUGGCAGCUAAGGUUCGGAGGCACGACAUGCGCGUGCAUCCUUACCAAAGGAUAGUGACCACCGACAGAGCCGCCACAGGCAACUAACCUUUGACCUUCUGACCUCUGAACUCCUGCACCCAAUGAUGACCUGACCAAUGCCUGCCUGCUGACCAGCUCUCUGGCAAACGUCUACGCUUGCCUGUCUCGCGGUCGCGGCGAGCACGGCCCAGCUUUUCACCUAACAAAGCAACACGACGAUGACUCAACAGCGCCGCCCCCCCUCCCCCCCUCCCCCCCCUCCCCCUUCACUGUAGCCCACUCUGGUCAUGUGACCGUGGCUUUGACCCUGCACUGAAUAGUCAUACAGCAAUAAUGAGGUCCAACGCCCCCUUCCCACACACACACACACACACACACACACACACACACAGUCAAACAGCAGCCCCCUUUUAAACUACCCACACCUGAAUGUACCGUUGCAGUAAUGACAAAGCGUCACGCAUGAGUCUUUCUGUCGUUUUAAGGUCAUUUCGCAAAAUCUUUCCCAGUUGGUGAAAUGUAUUGCACACCACCGAGCGGUUAGAAGUCUGGCAAGCGGGAGUGGGAAGUUUGACGGGUGAGGUGGGGUUCAGGUGGGGUAAAUGAGCGGGGGUGGGACUAAAGGUGCUUGUGGGUGGGGUUAUAGGGUGUUACCUGAGGGUAUAUGGGGGUACCUGGGGAUGGAACCCUGUACACAGAUUGAUAGCAAAUGUGCAUCCCAUCACUUAGCAACAUUUCUAUUUAGGAGCACUUCAUUGCAUCUUCAAGGAUGUUCAAAACAAAGCCAUGCUGUCCUAUCUGCUUUAUGUAUAUCAGAAUUGUAGAUAAAUAUUGAGACACACAGAAAAAUGAAACUCAGCAACUAAUAAUUUGACACUUUUUUAUGAUUCAAGGGUGCUGCCAUAUAGGAAGAUAUAUAUUCUCAAAUGUCAUUGUAAGCCUUUUAUAUUUACGAGUAUUGUGAACAAAACAAAAAAAGAACAAACCCUUUAGUUUAUUAUUGAAAUACAAACUGCUUCUUUUUAUGUGACUGAAGAGGUAUUGACGACCAAAAUGGCCUUUUUUUUUUCUUUUUUUUUUUCUUUUUAAAAAUUUGUUUUGUUAAGCAUUUACAGUGUUGGGAAGAAAUUGAAGUGCCUUUCUUUACUCAUGGUCAUUGAGUCUGUUGGCCGGCUCUAACUGCGCAUGAAGGUUAAUGCAUUCUACACCACCGCCUUACACAUGAAACAGUGAACGAGCGGGUAAAAAGAGAUUAAUCUGUCAAAGCCUAAGACAUGCAAAUAUGACUCUGGCUGCUUACGCUAAAGACUGAGGAAAAAGAUUAAGCCAAGAAAAAAAAAGUUGCCUUUUUUGUGUUUUUCUUUUUAUGUUAGUUUUUUUCCCAGCGUUUGUGUAACUAUAUAGAGAAUCACGGAGCAGUACGAUUUCAGCAAUGCAUCUGAACUCUAUGGGACUCUGAAUUACUGAAGCUCCACUAAACUGGAAGAGGGAAUGGCGCAAGUCCGCUCACCUCUGUGUGUCAGGACUAAUGCACUGUGCGUGUGAUGAAGUGCAGUCUUACGAGUGUGGAUCCAAGUAUUCUGUCUCGGUUUUUACCGAAGCAGCUCAGCGUUCCACUUGAAGCUACACACCGUAAACAGGUACGGCCGAAUAUCAAGAGCAUCAUAACAUUGGGGCUUAUGGGAGAUGAAGUCCGGAGCUUGAAGUCUGCAUGGUCGAUGCCAAUCCUCAGACUUCAUCUCCCACCAGCUCUGUCGUGUGAACUAUGUUGCCUUCCUGACGAUUGGAUACAGAGCAGUCCUAAAUCUGUGACAGUUCUCAAAUUCUAAAAAUUGGGUUUUUGUGUUUUUGUGUGUGUGUGCGUGUGUGUGUGUUACAAACUUUUAAUAUUUAAGGAUAUGUUACAGUAUGUCCCCCCACUGGGGACCGAAGCUCGGCUGUGUGGAGGAGGUUUUGGGGUUUUUUGCCAACAGUUGCAGGUGGCUUUCAGGCCGCGUAUCACAGUGCAGAUGGGUUCCGGUGAGUUCUCUAAACAGCCAUCUCAUGGGGAGCCAUGGCCCCAAAACAUAUGAAAAGUAUGUCAAAAUACAAGCUGUUAGGGGUGUAUUUUGAAUAAAUAUUGAAUAAGUAUUUUGAAAAAAAUAUAAACCUUGUGUUACAACAUACGCCAGUCAGACUCUAGUAUUGUUUUACGCUCAUUUCAACAUGUCAUGCUGCAUAAAUAUCAUAUAAUAUUGGAACAAAAGUGCAUACAGUAAAAUUAUUAUAAGGGGAAAGAGUAGUUAUUUGAGUGGUGGAGCUUUUCAAUGGUUUUAUCAGUUGUACCCAUAUUUUAUUACUAUGCAACAAAUUGGCCUGUAAUACUUAAUUAUAUUCCUUGCCAUAAACGUGUCUUCCUGUUUUAUAUCUUCACAGUUCCAAUGAUGCAGUGUGAUAUUGAAUGUUUUGGACAGUUUUUUGAGACAAUAUAGAGGUGUACCAUCUCAGUUCUUUUGGGAAAGACCCUGGAAUAAUAUUGGCUGUGUGUCUUGCAAAAACUGCAUAUUAUUUUAAAGUUGAAUAUAUUCUUUUGUGUGAGACUAUCAUGUCCAAUGAGCUUGAAGUUGGCAUCUUUGAAAUCUCACUACUCAUUGGGUUCUCAGUAUUAUGUCAUAGUUCUGUUGGUUAGUCCUUUAUGGCAGUAUUAUCUUCUUUGUUUUCAUUUGUGUUUCAGUGUAUUUUUUUCUUUUUCGCUGUCUGCGUGUGUGCGUGCAUGCGUGUGUGUGUAUGCGUGUGCAAAUUCUAUUCUUUGUAAGACAUACAUUUGGCAAUCUGUACCCUGUGUAACUGCUCAAGCUUUGUAUUAACAAUAUGAAAUAUCCAGAUGAUUGCCUACAAGAUUACAUGGAUGUAUUUACAGCUGUUGUUACAAGUUUAUAAUGUAUUUUUCUAUCUACUUUUGUAUGUAAGUAAUAAAUAACAUUAAUGAACGUAUUUCCAGAUUUGAACAAAUUAGAAUAACAAACAAACAAAAAGGAUACUCAAUGCAGAUGUAAAAAUUCAAGUGCAUAUGUGGAGGUUUUUCUGUAAGAGGUUAUUGGCUUUACUUUGCAGUACAUUGCUCUCAAGACCUGUGCCUGAAUUGAACCUUGUUAUCUUUAAUUAUUUAGCACAGGGGUUUUUCGACCUGUGUUUUCAACGUGUGCAGGGAUUUUCAACCUGUGUUUGAAACCACCCCAUGAAACCACCCCAUUGAAAACAUGUGGCCUGUGCAACAAGUUGUCCUCUGUAUGGUGGAAGACACAGCUUCCCCCUUUCCAUCUUUACUUGUCCUCUGCUGGAAUUGACCUGACAGUAUGAGUCAACUUCAUAUAUUGAAAUAUUGAAUUUAUUUUUACCAUUUCUCAACUUGUUGCAUUGAAAGCCGGUUGAGGUUCCUGGACACCUGGUUGAAGGUCCCUGAUUUACUGACUGAUUCUGGAGCACCUACAGUGGUUCUCUGAAAAAGAAAAAACUCAGAGAAAGUGUUUGGUUUGGCAUGAAUCCAUUGAACACCUUUGAACUCUUGUGAAGUCACUCUGCUCGGGUAUCUAUCUCAAUACCGAGUUUCUUCAUCAGACAUCUCCCAUCUUUUUUACAGACUGCAAUUUAAUAAUAACCCACAUUUGGAUGAAUAUUUUUAGUUAUUUCUAGUUUUUCAUAGAACGAUCUGAGGUGCCUCGACUGUGGUGAAGUUAAAAAAAAAAAAUUAGUUUAUAAGGUUUGUCGCUUGCAUUUUAAGGCCUUUUAUUGUAAAGUGUUAUUAACCUUUAGUAUGAUUUUAAUAAAUGUUACAUUGCAAUUGUACUAACAAUGGACAUGAUCUUGUUUCUUUAACCCCUCAUUGUUUCUUGUGUCUGCUUUGGUUGUUUUAAAAAGCAAACUUGUGAAAAGCUUUAACUUUUUAGAAUGCUGAUGAGAAACAUAACACUGUAUUUACUGAAGAGCAAUAGCAAAAUAUUAAAAGAAUAGUAAAAAAAAAUGAAUUCAACUAACUUUUGUGCUUCAUCUAUAGCUUUUUAAUGUGCCUUCAAGCUAAAUUCACGCUUACUAAUAGUAUAACAUAUAGUAUCCUUCAAUGGACGGAGAAAAACCUGAAAAACCUAAUGAAUUAAUUAGGAAGUGAUUAUCCUAAUAAGUUGUGAUCAAUGGAUCAAAUACAAUAGUUUGAGUUUUGCAGAUCUUUCCCCCACCUCUAGUUCGGCUUGAUUGCUGUAGCAUCCACAAUUAACACAUAAAACGUCCUAAGUUGUCCUUUUUACACUGCUGUGGGCCAGAACUAAGGCACCUGGUUCAGGGAAACAAUUGCAGUGAGCUACAGGUGGAGGGCAGCUGUGAAUCUUCACUCCCUGUGAAAUGCUAUGACCAAUAUUGUAAAAGACUGGGUCAUCCGAGAGGCUUCAACUCGAGUGCUGGGUAUGAGGAGAGGGAACCGAUUAGAAUGAGAGAGGGAGCACGAGCGAAGAUGUUUUCUUUUCUUCUUACGAAAGAUAUUUUCAUGUCAAUGUCAUUUGAAAUACACAGAAGAACGCAUGAGACCACAUACAGAGCACACCACUGGGCAGUGGUUCUCCCGGCUGGUUCUGGAGUGAGAGGUGUCUGCUGGUUUCAUGUCACUGAUAUUCACCACGUAAUUCAUCAAUUAAAACCAUUUAUUACAGACUGAAAUCUCCUCGACUGGAGGAAAUUAGACUCGAGCCGACGACAAAAAACAUCAUACCCUGCACCACUCCAGGAUCAGGGUUGGGGACCACUUGAACCCUAUAGUACAAGUAUAGAGCAUUACUGCUGCACUGUAGCUAGCAUACCGUGGCCUGACAACCACACGGACACUGUACAACACAAGCACUGUACGGUCAAAUGUGGUUUUGCUCCACAGGUGUCACACCCGCUCCCUGUCUGGAAGCAGCGUUUCAUUGUUCUUUGUGUCCUCCCUCAUAUGUUUUUAUUUUCUCCAUCUGUUAAGAGGGCAGGGGACUCUGGAGAGCAGGGCAGGAGGAGGUGGCCAUAAAUAUUCACUCUUCUGCUCAAGAGAAUCUUAUUUUGUACUGAACAGAUGUGGGAAAGAAACAGACAUGUUCUGAGCUGCUGUAGUGUGUCCCCCUCAGUCUGGUGCUCAUAACUUGCCCAAUUCCAAAGUUCUGGUGCUGAUAACUUGCCCAAUUCCUUCCCACGAUGCUGUGUAACGCAUCAGGUGCUUCGAAUUGUAUGAUCGCUAGAAUGGUAUUUGACGCACAUUCAUCUGAAAACUUCGCCCCCUCACCUACUGAAGUUGAUUCAUAAUUCCUGCAUCCUCAAUGUCCUGUAGGGUGAGAAGUGGAAAAUCUCGGUCCAGGACCCAGAGUUUGCUCUGGACUGAGAGGCACACAAAAUGUCUUUGGGACCCAGCUUUUGUGUUUUCUCUUAUCAGCUGGCAAGUUACAUCUUUCCUAUUUGUUUUUUUGUUUUUUUAUUACAUAUUUAAAAUAUAGUAUAAUGCAUUACUCUUUUUGUGAUCUCUUUCAAUGCAAUAAACUGUCAGUACUGUGAAUAGGCGCUCACACCAUAAAAUAAUGAACUGAAGAAGACUCUCUGUAGAAGCCAGUUCCUGCAGAAAUGCACCAUUAUUCUCUGUCAUUGAAGUGUAAAAUAAAAAUUCAUUAUUUUUAUGAUAAGAAAGCAAGGUAAAAA